rnacentral:rRNA from 1 species
UAGAAUUCCACGUGUAGCGGUGAAAUGCGUAGAGAUGUGGAGGAAUACCGGUGGCGAAGGCGGCCUUCUGGACAGAUACUGACGCUGAGAUGCGAAAGCGUGGGGAGCAAACAGGAUUAGAUACCCUGGUAGUCCACGCUGUAAACGAUGUCGAUUUGGAGUUUGUUGCCUAGAGUGAUGGGCUCCGAAGCUAACGCGAUAAAUCGACCGCCUGGGGAGUACGGCCGCAAGGUUAAAACUCAAAUGAAUUGACGGGGGCCCGCACAAGCGGUGGAGCAUGUGGUUUAAUUCGAUGCAACGCGAAGAACCUUACCUGGUCUUGACAUCCACAGAAUCUUGCAGAGAUGCGAGGGUGCCUUCGGGAACUGUGAGACAGGUGCUGCAUGGCUGUCGUCAGCUCGUGUUGUGAAAUGUUGGGUUAAGUCCCGCAACGAGCGCAACCCUUAUCCUUUGUUGCCAUUGGUUCGGCCGGGAACUCAAAGGAGACUGCCGUUGAUAAAGCGGAGGAAGGUGGGGACGACGUCAAGUCAUCAUGGCCCUUACGACCAGGGCUACACACGUGCUACAAUGGCGUAUACAAAGGGAGGCGACCUCGCGAGAGCAAGCGGACCUCAUAAAGUACGUCUAAGUCCGGAUUGGAGUCUGCAACUCGACUCCAUGAAGUCGGAAUCGCUAGUAAUCGUGAAUCAGAAUGU